rnacentral:rRNA from 1 species
UAGGCCAUGCAAGUCCAAGUAUAAAGCAAUUAUACCGUGAAACUGCGAAUGGCUCAUUAAAUCAGUUAUCGUUUAUUUGAUAGUACCUUACUACUUGGAUACCUGUGGUAAUUCUAGAGCUAAUACAUGCUAAAAACCUCGACUUCGGAAGGGGUGUAUUUAUUAGAUAAAAAACCAAUGCCCUUCGGGGCUCCUUGGUGAUUCAUAAUAACUUCUCAGAUCGCAUGGCCUUGCGCCGGCGACGGUUCAUUCAAAUUUCUGCCCUAUCAACUUUCGAUGGUACGGUAUUGGCGUACCAUGGUGGCAACGGGUAACGGGGAAUUAGGGUUCGAUUCCGGAGAGUUAGCCUGAGAAACGGCUAACMCAUCCAAGGAAGGCAGCAGGCGCGCAAAUUACCCAAUCCCGACACGGGGAGGUAGUGMCAAUAAAUACUGAUACAGGGCUCUUUUGGGUCUUGUAAUUGGAAUGAGUACAAUUUAAACCUCUUAACGAGGAACAAUUGGAGGGCAAGUCUGGUGCCAGCAGCCGCGGUAAUUCCAGCUCCAAUAGCGUAUAUUAAAGUUGUUGCAGUUAAAAAGCUCGUAGUUGAACCUUUGGCCUGGCUGGCAGGUCCGCCUCACCGCGUGCACUUGUCCGGCCGGGCCUUUUCUUCUGGAGAACCUCAUGCUCUUCAUUGGGUGUGUUGGGGACCAGGACUUUUACUUUGAAAAAAUUAGAGUGUUCAAAGCAGGCCUUUGCUCGAAUACGUUAGCAUGGAAUAAUAGAAUAGGACGUGCGGUUCUAUUUUGUUGGUUUCUAGGACCGCCGUAAUGAUUAAUAGGGGACAGUCGGGGGGCAUCAGUAUUCAAUUUGUCAGAGGUGAAAUUUCUUGGANUUAUUGGAAGACUAACUACUUGCGAAAGCAUUUUGCCAAGGGAUGUUUUUCAUUUAAUCAUGUGAACGAAAAUGUUAGGGGAUCCGAAGAACGAAUCAGAUACCGUCGUAGUCUUAACCAUAAACUAUGCCGACUAGGGAUCGGGCGGUGUUAUUAUUUUGACCCGCUCGGCACCUUACGAGAAAUCAAAGUGUUUGGGUUCUGGGGGGAGUAUGGUCGCAAGGCUGAAACUUAAAGAAAUUGACGGAAGGGCACCACCAGGCGUAACACUGCAGGUUCUGCGCCAGAAAGCGGCCCGAAAGGGAGGUGGUUGCCGACAACGCUAGUCGACGCAGACGCCCGUCUGUCGUUGGCGACACGCCUAAAUUGCGGGGAACUCGCGAAGCACACUGCUACCAAGCUGCCGGCCGAAAGGCUGGGAGUGGCCAGGGUAAUGACCUCGGGUACGGUAACAACGCAGUGGGUAUG